rnacentral:rRNA from 1 species
UACGUAGGGGGCAAGCGUUGUCCGGAUUCAUUGGCGUAAAGAGCUCGUAGGCGGUUCAGUAAGUCGGGUGUGAAAUCUCCGUGCUCAACACGGAGCGGCCACCUGAUACUGCUGUGACUCGAGUCCGGUAGGGGAGUGUGGAAUUCCCGGUGUAGCGGUGAAAUGCGCAGAUAUCAGGAGGAACACCUACGGCGAAGGCAGCUCGCUGGGACGGUACUGACGCUGGAGACGCGAAAGCGUGGGGAGCAAACAGG